UCUUUUAGAUAUUGGGUAGGGGAGCGUUCUGUAAGCCGUUGAAGGUGAAUCGUAAGGUUUGCUGGAGGUAUCAGAAGUGCGAAUGCUGACAUGAGUAACGACAAAGGGGGUGAAAAACCUCCUCGCCGGAAGACCAAGGGUUCCUGUCCAACGUUAAUCGGGGCAGGGUGAGUCGACCCCUAAGGUGAGGCCGAAAGGCGUAAUCGAUGGGAAACGGGUUAAUAUUCCCGUACUUCUGACUAUUGCGAUGGGGGGACGGAGAAGGCUAGGUGGGCCAGGCGACGGUUGUCCUGGUUCAAGUGCGUAGGCUUGAGAGUUAGGUAAAUCCGGCUCUCUCUAAGGCUGAGACACGACGUCGAGCUACUACGGUAGUGAAGUCAUUGAUGCCAUGCUUCCAGGAAAAGCCUCUAAGCUUCAGAUAGUCAGGAAUCGUACCCCAAACCGACACAGGUGGUCGGGUAGAGAAUACCAAGGCGCUUGAGAGAACUCGGGUGAAGGAACUAGGCAAAAUGGUACCGUAACUUCGGGAGAAGGUACGCUCUUGAUGGUGAAGUCCCUCGCGGAUGGAGCUGACGAGAGUCGCAGAUACCAGGUGGCUGCAACUGUUUAUUAAAAACACAGCACUGUGCAAAAUCGCAAGAUGACGUAUACGGUGUGACGCCUGCCCGGUGCCGGAAGGUUAAUUGAUGGGGUUAGCGCAAGCGAAGCUCUUGAUCGAAGCCCCGGUAAACGGCGGCCGUAACUAUAACGGUCCUAAGGUAGCGAAAUUCCUUGUCGGGUAAGUUCCGACCUGCACGAAUGGCGUAAUGAUGGCCACGCUGUCUCCACCCGAGACUCAGUGAAAUUGAAAUCGCUGUGAAGAUGCAGUGUACCCGCGGCUAGACGGAAAGACCCCGUGAACCUUUACUACAGCUUGGCACUGAACAUUGAACCUACAUGUGUAGGAUAGGUGGGAGGCUAUGAAGACGUGACGCCAGUUGCGUUGGAGCCGUCCUUGAAAUACCACCCUUGUAUGUUUGAUGUUCUAACUUAGACCCAUUAUCUGGGUUGAGGACAGUGCCUGGUGGGUAGUUUGACUGGGGCGGUCUCCUCCCAAAGAGUAACGGAGGAGCACGAAGGUGGGCUAAUCACGGUUGGACAUCGUGAGGUUAGUGCAAUGGCAUAAGCCCGCUUAACUGCGAGAAUGACGGUUCGAGCAGGUGCGAAAGCAGGUCAUAGUGAUCCGGUGGUUCUGUAUGGAAGGGCCAUCGCUCAACGGAUAAAAGGUACUCCGGGGAUAACAGGCUGAUACCGCCCAAGAGUUCAUAUCGACGGCGGUGUUUGGCACCUCGAUGUCGGCUCAUCACAUCCUGGGGCUGAAGUCGGUCCCAAGGGUAUGGCUGUUCGCCAUUUAAAGUGGUACGCGAGCUGGGUUUAGAACGUCGUGAGACAGUUCGGUCCCUAUCUGCCGUGGGCGUUGGAAGAUUGAAGGGGGCUGCUCCUAGUACGAGAGGACCGGAGUGGACGAACCUCUGGUGUUCGGGUUGUGUCGCCAGACGCAUUGCCCGGUAGCUAAGUUCGGAAUUGAUAAGCGCUGAAAGCAUCUAAGCGCGAAGCGAGCCCUGAGAUGAGUCUUCCCUGACAGUUUAACUGUCCUAAAGGGUUGUUCGAGACUAGAACGUUGAUAGGCAGGGUGUGUAAGCGUUGUGAGGCGUUGAGCUAACCUGUACUAAUUGCCCGUGAGGCUUAACCAUACAACACCCAAGGGGUUUUGUA
rnacentral:rRNA from 2 species